CCUACGGGGGGCUGCAGUGGGGAAUAUUGGACAAUGGGGGGAACCCUGAUCCAGCCAUGCCGCGUGUGUGAAGAAGGCCCUCGGGUUGUAAAGCACUUUCAGUGAGGAAGAACGCCUGGGGGCCAAUACCCAUCAGGAAAGACAUCACUCACAGAAGAAGCACCGGCUAACUCCGUGCCAGCAGCCGCGGUAAUACGGAGGGUGCGAGCGUUAAUCGGAAUUACUGGGCGUAAAGCGCGCGUAGGUGGCUUGAUAAGCCGGUUGUGAAAGCCCCGGGCUCAACCUGGGAACGGCAUCCGGAACUGUCAAGCUAGAGUGCAGGAGAGGAAGGUAGAAUUCCCGGUGUAGCGGUGAAAUGCGUAGAGAUCGGGAGGAAUACCAGUGGCGAAGGCGGCCUUCUGGACUGACACUGACACUGAGGUGCGAAAGCGUGGGUAGCAAAUAGGAUUAGAUACCCGAGUAGUC
rnacentral:rRNA from 1 species